UAACAAGGAUUCCCCUAGUAACUGCGAGUGAAGCGGGAAAAGCUCAAAUUUAAAAUCUGGCGGCUUUGCCGUCCGAGUUGUAAUCUGGAGAAGCGUUUUCUGUGUCGGACCGUGUACAAGUCUCUUGGAACAGAGCGUCAUAGAGGGUGAGAAUCCCGUCUUUGACACGGACUACCGAUGCUUUGUGAUGCGCUCUCGAAGAGUCGAGUUGUUUGGGAAUGCAGCUCAAAAUGGGUGGUAAAUUCCAUCUAAAGCUAAAUAUUGGCGAGAGACCGAUAGCGAACAAGUACCGUGAGGGAAAGAUGAAAAGCACUUUGGAAAGAGAGUUAAACAGUACGUGAAAUUGUUGAAAGGGAAACGCUUGAAGUCAGUCGCGUCGUCCGGGACUCAGCCUUGCUUUUGCUUGGUGUACUUUCCGGUUGACGGGCCAACAUCGAUUUUGGCUGGUGGAUAAAGGCAAGGGGAAUGUGGCACCCUCGGGUGUGUUAUAGCCUCUUGUUGCAUACGCUGGCUGGGAUCGAGGACCGCAGCAUGCCUUUUUGGCCGGGGUUCGCCCACGUAACAUGCUUAGGAUGUUGGCGUAAUGGCUUUAAACGACCCGUCUUGAAACACGGACCAAGGAGUCUAACAUGCCCGCGAGUGUUAGGGUGGAAAACCCUUGCGCGUAAUGAAAGUGAAAGUUGGGACCUCUGUCGCGGAGGGCACCGACGCCCGGCCUUGAACUUCUGUGACGGUGCCGCGGUGGAGCGUGUAUGUUGGGACCCGAAAGAUGGUGAACUAUGCCUGAAUAGGGUGAAGCCAGAGGAAACUCUGGUGGAGGCUCGUAGCGAUUCUGACGUGCAAAUCGAUCGUCAAAUUUGGG
rnacentral:rRNA from 1 species